GAACUAUGAUGAUAUCUCUAAGGCUUGUUUCUCAAAACAUUCGCAGUGGCCGUCUAAGAGCUUUCGCCUUCGCCGGGCUUGAGAGCUACUGCUGCUUUAUCCUUCCUUGGAUGUCUGAGUUC